rnacentral:lncRNA from 1 species
AUGCGCUGGAACACGUUGCCCAAGGAUGUUGUGGACGCCCCGUCCCUGGAGGCAUUGAAGGCCAGGCUGGAUGUGGCUCUGGGCAGCCUGGUCUGGUGGUUGGCGACCCUGCGCUCAGCAGGGGGGUUGAAACUGGAUGAUCAUUAUGGUCCUUUUCAACCCAGGCCAUUCUGUGAUUCUAUGAAAAUCUACUGCUUAUCAUUCCCACUCUUUCUAGCAAAAGCCUGUCCUCACACACUGCCCUGGUUCGGCGGUGUUUCCCAUCUCUGCAGUUCCCACUGUGUUCUGCAAAGAACAAGCAGCAGAAAGAGAACGUGGAAGGAAAAAGCGAGACCCAAGAAAUGUGCCCUAUUAGACAGAAGUAUCUAUUGGAACAAAAAUAGGUAUGGAACUCUCAUCGCACCCCCAGUGAUACUUUUUUUCCAUCCACCUAUGCGGUACACGCUUUCAAGUCUAUUGUAAAGCAAUUCAAAGCUUUUUGUUCUAGCUUACACUAAAGUUCUUCUGUGCAUUUUUAAUAUCAAGGCAGAUCCAUUAGAUCCCUUGUGUGGACAGACACCAACUUCCGGCAGCAUCUCGACGCUGACUUUAAACGUUAAACCAGCUGUCUGAGCCUGACCUUCACCUGGAAAGUACAAAUUGUUUUGGUGGGGCAGCUCUCACAAGUGGCAUUUUUAUGGAUACAAAUGCUUUCUCGCUCUUCCUAGUACAGUACAACACGUCCACGGUGAGAUGCUGUAAGUUGUGCAUCUUCCAAGCGUUUAAAUUAGCUAUAAGUAUAAAAACAUGAAACCUGCACUCAUCCUUCUUUUCUGAGUUACAGAAAUACAGAAGUAAAAUGCGCAGCUUGGUAAAUAUCCGCAUGCACUUCUGCAAAUGUUGUGUUUCAUUUUGUAAGGGUGCCCCUACGCAUGUCGGCAUGCCUUUAUUCACAGAGACUGCGUUGGUUUCGCACAGCGUUGUAAGCAGUGGGGCCCAGCUGAAGGCCCCGGGGUUUGAGACGUGCUCAACUGGGGAAAAAGCGGAGAAAUGGCAACAGAGAGUGUGGGCAGCGCCGGGGGGGAGUAGAGACUGCCUUGCAAAUGUCACCAUGCAGAUUGCGAUCUCCUUCUCAAGGUGUUUCAGAUUAUGCUGAAGGGAUCAGCUGUGACCAUGUAACGAGGAGCACCUGCGAGGUGCUCGUGUCGGCAGAGUUCCUCCUUCCCCUUCCUCUCGCCCUGCCCGGCUCCCCCGUGCUGCAGGCUGUCAGCACCGCAGGGUUCCCAGCUCCGUGCCUGCCCUGCUCCCGACUCAACUCCAGCGCAGGGGGAAACUUUUCCUCUUCCUCUCUGGCAAAGCCCUCUUGCUCCUGGGGCGGUGCUGGUGCGCAUCCAUGCCAUGCGCUGAGGAACCUGGGCACUAACAUAUGUAUGUAUAGCCAUGUUUAAACAGCAAAGAUAAUCUGGCAUCCCAGCUGCUGGCGCUCACUCAGCACAGGACUUUUCACCGUACUCUUUUUGGAGGUCCUCAGUUCCUCUUUUCCUCUUCUCCAUCAUACUUCAGCGUUUCAAGGGUGUAGGAAAGUAGAAAUGUUCCAAAUUUCCCACUAGGUGCCUGCCUGCAUCUUUUGCUGCUACAGCUGUGAGGAUUCAGUGCUACCGAGAGCUCUGCUGCUGCUGGUGGAGAGUCUUUAACCCAGACACUGGAGCAUUUGGAGCUGAGAGGAAAAGCUGCUUGUUUCCUGCAGACAGUGAUAACGCAGACGUGUCCUUUUAUUACGGUGCGCUGAUAAUAAACUAUCUUCGCUAAUAACA